GACGAACGCUGGCGGCGUGCCUAAUACAUGCAAGUAGAACGCUGAAGAGAGGAGCUUGCUCUUCUUGGAUGAGUUGCGAACGGGUGAGUAACGCGUAGGUAACCUGCCUUGUAGCGGGGGAUAACUAGUGGAAACGAUAGCUAAUACCGCAUAACAAUGGAUGACACAUGUCAUUUAUUUGAAAGGGGCAAUUGUUCCACUACAAGAUGGACCUGAGUUGUAUUAGCUAGUAGGUGAGGUAAUGGCUCACCUAGGCGACGAUACAUAGCCGACCUGAGAGGGUGAUCUGCCACACUGGGACUGAGACACGGCCCAGACUCCUACGGGAGGCAGCAGUAGGGAAUCUUCGGCAAUGGGGUCAACCCUGACCGAGCAACGCCGCGUGAGUGAAGAAGGUUUUCGGAUCGUAAAGCUCUGUUGUAAGUCAAGAACGGGUGUGAGAGUGGAAAGUUCACACUGUGACGGUAGCUUACCAGAAAGGGACGGCUAACUACGUG
rnacentral:rRNA from 1 species